CCUGCCCUAGACUCCCUGUGACGAAGUGGGACUGUUCUUAAUGUUUCCUCUGAAUAGUGUGGGGGUGCCUCAGUUUCCCCUAUGCAGUUCUUAAGUAUCUAGGGGGUGGAGUAAGGGUGUAUGAUCAUUGCAGAGCCCUAGAGGGCAGGUGUGUGAAGGGGUCUGGACACAGAGAAUGGGCGACACCCUGUUUCCUGGCAACUGAUGGCCUGGGCCCUUCCCCCCCUGCAAGGUGAGAGCUGAAGGGUUGGAGAACAAAGGAAUCAGGUGACCUCCUGGCCCGGGAAAGGAACAAAGCCCAGAGGAGGAGGGGCUGGAGGGGUUUCAGUUUGGGGCUGGCUGGGACAUGCAGUGAAGGGCAGACGUGGUUGUUUGGCUCACUGCCCCCCAAAAUGGACCCAGCUGAGGGGUCCUGUUCUCUGCACCUACAAGCUCUGUGUUAGACCAUGUUCCUGUCGUCUAAUAAACCUUCUGUUUUACUGGCUG